rnacentral:lncRNA from 1 species
AAUAAGCCAAAAUCAUGUUUUAAACAUAGUAUAUCACCAUAUAUACAUAAACAUAAGUUCACCAUAAUUACUCAAACUUACCUAUUGAAUUCAUGCAAUAACUCUACCUAAGUUCACCAUAAUUGAAAUAUACAUAAACAUAUAUAUAUAUAUAUGCAAAAUUACAAUUACUAACAUUUACACAUAAGACAAACUUUAAUUAAAUCCACACAAACCCUAUACAUGCCUUAUAAACGAUAAUGUACGUUUCAAAAACUACUGGAAUAAGCUGGAUAGGGUGACUUGAUGUGCUGAUCUGAUCUGUCGACCUCUUGAAAAUCUACAAAGACAUUAAACAACUCGAGUAAGCUUAAUGAAGCUUAGUAAGUUCGAUGGGUUAAACGUAAAUCUUACCGAAUCUACUAUAACAAAUCAAUUAAAUAAAAUCAUUCAAUGUAAACUUCCUGCCAAUCACAACUUCAAAUGAUGAAUACACUUAUUUCAAAUCAAUACCAAUAAUAAAUAACAAUUCUUCCAAUUUCAAUUACAUAAGUCACUUACCAAAUCUUACCAAAUUUGAGAACGACUUAUGGAUAAGAAUACAUCAUUUUCUAAAGCCAGAAGGCUGAACAGAAGCUCAUUAGAGCUAAACAGAAACCCAUAAGGGUUGAACAGAAGCUCGUAAGACCUGAACGGAAACCUAUAAAGGUUAAACAGAAGUUUAUUAGAGCUAAACAGAAACUCAUAUGAGUUAAACAGAAGCUCGUAAGAGCUAAACGGAAAGUAAACACAAAAGUUCGCAACAAAUGCUGAACCUCAGUUUACUUGGGUAAUUUGCUGUCACUUUCCUUCAAUGCCGUUAAUUUAUCGAUUGUUGAAUGUAGUCAUAUCUCGCGUUCCAUUUAAAUCCGAACAUUCAAUUCAAUUUUGCAACUUUAACAAUAUUUCAUUUUCAACAGUAGAAUAAAUACAUAAUACUAUUCAUCAAAUCAAUAUCAAUAUAAAUAUUUAAGUUUAACCACACGAACUUACCUAGGUUAAAUUGUAAUAUUUGUAGGAGAUCAGGGACUAUUCUACUAAUUUUCCUUUUUCACGAGUAUCUAUGGGCUCUUGAUAUAUAGCAAAAUAGAAAACCAGCUUCUUAAGAGCUCUUCAAUGGUGUUUUUAGGCUGAAAUUUAGAGAUGAAAUGUCUAGAAAUCAUUUUAGCCAUUUGUUUUAUUUUUCUUAACUUCACCAAAUGACCAUUUUGCCCCUAAUUCACCUUAUUUUGUUUCUUUUUCUCUACUUAUGCUGCCUCAUGCCUGUAUCUUAGGCUUAAUUGCUCCUUAAGUCCUCACUUAUUUAUAUAUCAAGCCAUUUAAUCAUUAUUUCUUUUAAUUAGUAAGUUUUUUACCUUUUUCAAUUUAGUCCUUUUUAAUUAAUUAACUAUCAAAACAUGUCUUACGCCGUGUAGGCAUUCGAAAUAGGGACACACGGCCGUGUCCCAGCCUGUGCUCGUGCCCAUAUAACUCACUGACUUGGGUCACACGGCCAAAACACACGCCCGUGUACCCUUAAAAAUAACCUCAUACGCUCGUAUGCCUGGCCAUGUGCUAGGUCAUGUAAAACCUGACUUGUAACCCUUUGAAAACUACAGGGGACAUACGGCCGUACCACCUGGCCGUGUGUCACACAAGGCUGAGUCACGUCCAUGUCUCUGCCCGUGUGGACGAAAAUAGAUUAUUUUACAAGCCAUUUUUCACCCUUUUCAACAUGUACUUAUAAUCCCUUUUGCACAUAUACAUAAGCUCUUAAAAGGCACAAAAAUUAUGCAUAAUCAAGCCAAACACAUAUGGUAUAAUAACAUCCAACCAAUAUGCCCAAAGGCACCUCAAAUGACAACAUUAAAACAUGUAUAAUCAUGUACUCAAUUUGGCCAAAAUAAUUGAUUAACUUCUAACUAAGUUUGCAUCAUUACACAACAUGUAAAUUGUAUUUAAUAACAUAUUUCAUUCAAAAACAAAACAAUUAUAUGAACAAUUUUUAUUAUUUAUAUAAAAUAUCAUAUUUACAAGUUUCUCAUAUUUAAAAACAAUCAAUAGCAUGCUCUAAAAGUGAAAUUACUUGGUAACAGGGUUGAAUCGGAAAGAUGGAGGCCUCUAGAAGACACUUCAAUAAAAAUUAACUAUAAUACGGCUCUCCAACAACAUUCCCUAGGAUUGUCAUAUGAAAUCAAAGAGGUGAUGUCUUUGGGUCAACAAUAGUUAUUAACAGUUACAUACCUACUGUGUUUGUCACGAAAGCCCUUGCAUGUCUCCAGACAGUUCGUCUGGGCUUAGAUUUGGGGCUCUACGAGGUUGUGAUUGAAGGUGAUGCCAUCACGGUGGUCAAGAAGCUUCAGACAAACAGAAGAGACGAAUCGAUUAUCAGUGCAUAUAUUGAAGAUUCAAAAUCCAUGUGUUUGAACUUUCGAAAAUGUGUGGCGCAUCUUUUGGCUACGAAAAUAUUAAGGAGGGAGUGGAAUACUUAUCUGCUUGGAGGAGUGCCGAAUUGUGCAGUGGACGCGGUGGAAAAUGAUCACCGGGAGGUAGAUUCAAUAGAUGAACCCCAGGUUUCUAAGGUGUGGUAGGUUAACACAGGCUUGCUACUGUCUGGUUGUCAUUUGUUAAAGGAAGAUGGAGGGUUGUAAAGGGAUCAGAAGAGAGUGAAAUGGUACUUUUAAUUACAGGGCUUCUGGUUCACUGAUCAGUUCCUAGAAGAAGUGCAGUUGUUUUCUUGGAAAGGAGAUGACUUUGUGAACGGGUUCCGGGGCAUUCAUUGUUUUUGUCUUUUCAAUGUUGA